rnacentral:rRNA from 1 species
UUGACGGGCCGCACAGCGUGGAGCAUGUGGUUUAAUCGAUGCAACGCGAAGAACCUUACCAGGGCUUGACAUCCCCUGACCGCGUAUGAAAGUACGUUUUCACCUUCGGGUGACAGGGAGACAGGUGGUGCAUGGUUGUCGUCAGCUCGUGUCGUGAGAUGUUGGGUUAAGUCCCGCAACGAGCGCAACCCCUACGUUUAGUUGCUAACGCGUGAAGGCGAGCACUCUAGACGAACUGCCGUUGACAAAACGGAGGAAGGUGGGAUGACGUCAAAUCAUCAUGCCCCUUAUGUUCUGGGCUACACACGUGCUACAAUGGCCGGUACAGACGGACGCAAAGCCGCGAGGUGGAGCAAAUCCUAAAAAGCCGGUCUCAGUUCGGAUUGCAGGCUGCAAUUCGCCUGCAUGAAGUCGGAAUCGCUAGUAAUCGCAGGUCAGCAUACUGCGGUCGAAUACGUUCCCGGGCCUU